GAGAAGCGCAGUAUCUAGAGGAAAAGCGCACUACAACGCCUUACCUUAGUAACAUAGUAUUGUGACCAUUGGAUUGGGGUCCUGCAGUAACUCCUUGUCGGCCUGUUCUCCUGUUCUAGUUUAAGAAUCCGUGCUUGUUAAACCGAUGAGAUCAGUAGCGGAUGCAGUUCGAAGAAAGUCUCUCGGUCUAAGGUCUGCAGCAAGCGCAAAGUCAGCAGCAAUCGAAGCGGUGGGGACGGUUUCCAGUCUUGUUUCGGGUGCUAUAGUCGUAUAGAGAAUCUGCGAAGUUAGUGAAAGUAAAAGGUGAAAAUGCAAGUUGGUAUAGAAAUAUUUAAGUAACCGGACACUCCUUCGCCCUACAAGUAAAGAAGAGAAUUGCCUGUAAGAAAGUAUACUUCAUAUUUCGGGUCAUCAAGUAGAGUUAGAGUGUGAAAGUAAUCUGCAAACGGUUAUGGAAGUAGAGUUCAAUAUUCCAUACGAGUUCCAGCAAGUGAUAGAGUUUACCGGGUCGUCCAGGCCCUUGACUUUAUGAGUAAGCUUUGUUAGCUAUACUAUCGCAACGAUCAGGAACAUGGACAAGAACAAGAACACAAACAGACUCUCCUCAAGCAAGAAAAGAUACCGCUCCAUGUAGUGGUGAUUCUAGAGAGAAAAGAUUAGGCUUAUGACUUAGAAGACAUCUUCUAGCGCCUUUGCUUUUUUGGUCUUCAAGCCGAGAGGAAUUUGCCGUUAAAGGUAAGGCAGCAUAAGCAGUUGUUUUAAGUCAGAGUAUAAAGUAAGCAGAUAAGCAGUUUCUCAAGCAAGAGUAUAAAGCGAAAGAAGCCAGAUCAAAGGCUCAAGCAGAAACAGGAUAAGAUGAGCCAUCAAUUAGUUAAGAAAGGGGGCCAAUACCAUACUUUAACAUAACAAGUAUACAACACUUUCACAGGUCAUUCUUUCUUAUGCUUUAUAUCUUGGAACUUUUCACUGGCAAUGAUUCUUCUUCCUCACCUGCUUCUUUACUCGUUUACUUAGAGCCUAUAACAGAACUAGACUUGCCCGGCACAGAUCCUUAUUCUGCUCCUUAUUCUUAUGUUGUCGAUGUAUACUUUCCUUUCAUCUCUAUUUCUAGGCUACCUGCCAACUCCGCUCCCGAAAACAGUGUCCGCCGCCGAAAGUCAAGUUCUGGAGAUCCUUCUUUCGGAUCUAUUCCAAUUGUCUAUAAACUCUGUCUCCGUCAAACAAAGAGACGAGAGUCAGUUCAAGAAUAGGAUGUAGAGCCUGUGCCCCCUAAAGAGGACGAGGUUAAGUAAAUGGAUCUCGGUACUGUUGACAAUCCUCGCCCUGUAUUCCUAAGUGCAAGUUUCGAAAAUGAAAUCAAUUUGACAGUACAUGGAUCUACUCAGAGAAUUCAUUGAUGUUUUUCGCUUGGAGCUACGCCGAACUAGACUAGACCGAAAGAGAAAUGAGUUAGCUCCAGGUUCAAUGGAUUUAGGAAAGCUUACACGUUACAUCCCAAAGUGAGUCUUCUGCUUUCAUUGUCUUAUCGAAAGCUAAAGGUAGUUAACCUAGGAUCAGAAAGAGACUCUGCUUUGCCUUGCACUUUGUACCUUACCUUCUCAUCUGCCAGCUUUGGAAUUCUAUUCAAUAAAGAGGACUCACAGAUUGGACAGUGGCACUGGAAUGAUAGCAAGCAUCCCUUCUUAUCUUUCUUUUCUUGGUAUUAAAUAAGUAGCUAGUACCAAUCUCCCUCACUGUGUCCUUUCCUUUCUAGGAUUCUCUAAGAGCGGGGGGCAUAUACAUGAUCAGAAAGUAGUAACGAAGGGUAAGGUAAAAGUUCCGCAAAGAACAGAAAUGCCGACACCAGCCUUUGGGUUUUCCAUGCUUUGAGAGUGCCUUUCCGCCAGCACUUUCUUUCGAUACCUGGACUUCAUCAGUAAAGGUAUGAUCCAUACAUGGAAAGUGUAAACGUUGACUCACAAGCAAAACCCUCACUGGGUAAAUCCAGAUAAGUGCAACUGCUUCUGGACUCAAAUCCUUAUUUGCAUUUAUGGAGUCCAACCGAGUCUUUCAGAUUUCUCUUUCUGGGGAGUGCAACGAGUCUUUAAGUAAGUGGGCGUUAAGCGUAACGAGCUUACGGGAGGUAUCAAAUGUUUGCCUAACGUCUUUAUUAUAUAAAUCAAUAGUAAUGCGAGGCUAGUAAGAGAAGGAGAAAAGAAAGGUAAUAAGUAUAGAAGUCAACUCACUUAUAGUGCUUUCCACACCCCGCCCCGUAGAGGGAAAUUGACCUGUGAAUGCGGUACGGGCCACAGCUCUCCCUUUCCUUUCACUCGAAACAAUAGUUCUGUGCGCCAAGCAUAAAGAUUGAAUCAAUAGGGGCAGACCAGACCGUAUUAGAAUCCUCGAAAUGCCAUAAUUCUCUUUCUGAAUGUCUCGACUUUCUUUCUCAAAAAACCGGACCGUGCUGAAAUAGCAAGAAUAGAAUGCAAUGAAUAGGCUCUUGUCAAUAGGUUGUUUGGCAGCUUUACGCGAAUCUACACUAGCUAACUUUACACAGAAGCACCAUUGAUACAUUGAUAGUGGAUGAAGUGGCAAACCUAUACUAUGCCCCCAAGUGCGGAGAUCCAAAAGUACCCUAUUGCUAAACAUCCGGCUACCUAUAUAAUGAAGGGAAGAAGCCAAUGUCUGGAGCUAUGCCACUGUAGACUGAUUCAUAUUGGCGGAUACUUUUUCUAUUAUCGGACACAACAACCAGAAGCUACAUCUUUCGAAGGGAAAUGCGACUUUUCAUUCUAUUUAGAAUGAGAUAAUGAAGUAAAGAAAUAUAGAAUUCGAAAAAGCGAGAGUUGGCUAUAAAGGCGCUUACGACCUGGAGAUUCGCCGCUUGUUAGAAACAAUCUAUGUAACUAGCUAUUCAGUGGAUUCCUAUCCCUUGACUCAUGGUAGAGAAGAGAACACCGGUACAGCUCGCGUUCUUUCUCUUUAUGUGGGGACGAGAACAAACGGACUUCUAUUGAUGACUCAAAAUCGGAAGAAGAAACUACCCGCUCCUGCUUCUUGGUCACCAGAAUCCACUGUCUCCACCUGUGCUCUAGCUUCGGGUUCACCUAGGUGGGAAAGAAAGAAGCUCUCUUUAUGUUAUGUGUAGAUAUGGCUGGUGAAAACUGUUGGACGAACAGGACUCGUCUUUAAUGCGGGCUUUCUCCAUACCACAGGGAUUCUAUAAAUUCAUUACUCUUAUUUCACGAAAGUCUGGAGAGUUAUGGACGCAAUACAAGAGUCCUUUGAAACCUUUAGGGCGGGAUACCAGUUAAGAAAGUCAAUCAAAAAAGCGAUAGGGACUAUAAGCCUAGCCCCUCAUAAGACUUCCAACGAUAGUAAGACUUCCAACGAUAGAAUGAAUUGAAAGCUAGAACAGAUUGAACGAUUAGAAUCCUUAAGGAAUGCUUACCGAAGCGAAAUGUUAACUACUUGAAUAAGAGAAGACCGGUGGGAUUGAAAGAAGUACCUUCGGCCUUUGAAACUCUCUAAAAUGGGUUGAUACCUUCGCCCACCCUCUGGUUUUCGGGAAGGAAAGAAAAGCAUUCCGUAAGCUUAGUAAGCAGUAAACAAUGAAUGAAAGUAAGUCCGCCUUAGCUAAGACAUCUUCCUUAGCUUGAAACCAAUCUGACUCGAGAACUAGUGUUGUUUGCCGGAAGUAAGGUCAGUGUGAAGCCGGAGUGGCGUGGCAUAGACUCUCUCUCUCCUCUCCUUGCAAAGAUGGUUAAUACCCCGAGCCUACAUCUACUUAUUGAUUUCCCGCUUACCUCUGACUUUAGCCCUUUUAUUGCAGCAGGCUUUGGCACUGAGGAUUCUAUCUCUACGACCACUACUCGAACAGUCCAUUCAUAAGCUGAUUCUCUUGUCGAUGAAACUCAAACUAUACUUUGCGCUUCUGCUGACUUGCAUUCGGCUUAUCUCGGAGAUGACACUUUUCGCUUCCCUAGCCGUUACGAUACCACUUAUUGUAGUUUCGGGAGUUCCCACGCACGGCUGAUUCUCUUGUUCCUACUCAAGAUGUAUAUAGCUACUGAUACGGUUACUACUCAAGAUGUAUAUAGCUAUUGAUACGGUUACUACUCUUGUUCCCGCUUCAGACCAAGACCAUUAUUCUGUCUCUUGCUUAUACUUCCUAAACUGCUCUUGUUGGUAACUACACUUCUUUUCUCUAUCUCCUACUCCUAUUGCAAACCAAAUACUCCGCCCAGCUACGUAAGCAAGAAAUCCAGAAUGAAACGGAAAAGUCAGAAUGAAAAGAGAUGCAGAGCGAGCACAAGAGCUCCCCUCCCGCAUAGAGAAAAGUCACAUUACUCACUUAUAUACAGUACAUGCGCUCUAAACUAUAAGCUGGAAUUUCCCUAGAAACAAAACAGGAACGAUAGGGGGCCCGCCUGUCUUCAGUUGACAAAGACAAAGGAUUCUUCCUUCACCAUCCAUUUAUGUUAGCUUGAAUUCCAUUUCCAUAAGUGAGUUUCGCAGUGAGAAAAGGUUCACCAUCAGAUUCCCCAAAAUCGAUACUAAUCCAAUGAAGGAUAGAUCCAAUUAUGGAACUUAUACUUCCAAUUGAACUUACGCUAACACCGCUAAGUGGGCCUUCAUUCUCAAAGGGAUUCUCUUCGACUUCUAUAGAAGAUUUCACUUGAACGACUUCCUUUAUACCGAAGAAACUAGAAUAGAACCGCUUACUGCAGACAAUGCUGGAACUACACUUUCUUAACUGCACGAUGACACUCGAACAUAAAGAUACUCUAAGCCAAGAACAUAGACACCGAACCUAUACUUAUGGAAUGGAACUUCAAAACUCAUUGAAUAGGGAAAUUGUAAUCGAGGUACUCUAUUGGCUCUUAGAAUGAAUUUACCCUAACAUCCUUAUUUGUUCUGAAACCUGUUCCUUUGCCGACCACAACUAAACUCGGUUCAGGCUUUCAUCCCAUCUUAUCUUGAGAGCUUCGAGUAAACCAGCACGCACAGGAAAAUCUUGGAGUCUUGUAUAGUAUUCGCUUGUCUGCUGCUGACUCCCUAGCAAACUGACUAAGGCGAAAAUCCGGACUUGCUCGCUCUUCAGGACAGAAUGUCAUUGCAUUGCUGCUGACUCCAAAACGGACUAUAUAGCCUAUAUGGGGUGAGCUCCUAAGGCGAGUUCUUUGACUUACUCUUGCCCCGGUCAACUCUAUAACUUGACCUUCUAUCCUUGCUUGCGCCGUGGAGAUACCUUUAUACUCUACUUGCUAGCUUCUUCCAAUUCUUACGAACAAGCAACUUUCGGGCGCUUACUCUUGGGGUCUGUUAGCUUACUUGAGCGGGUUCGAAAGGAAAGGGUAAGUCAAGAGAAGAGCAGAGGUAUAAACUUAGAUAACGUGCCUAUGCCUCCGUCCUUUAGUGUUAGUAUAGGGUUCUUCCUCACUCAAGUACUAUAUAUUAUAGCCUAAAGCUUGUUCCCUUUCCAGCUUAGAAAUGAAGUUCAUAAAUAGGAAAAUGUGCCUUUCUCAAAUGAAUCUCAGAUGUAAAGUCAUUUCUUCGAGUUAGAUUCUGGAACCGCGGAGGAAAUAGCUUUGUAUUCUUCUUCUGAAAAUGUCAUAGAAUUUCACUCCUAUCCAAAAUGAGUUAACCGGCUUCCUUCACUGGCUUCGUUGCGUGUAGUGGGCCUGGUACUCUUUUCGUGAUUCAAAGCAUCUUGCAAGAAAAUUCCCCUUAGCCUGUUCACUAUUAUCUUAUACAAGAGUCAAGCCUUUGAACAUUGGAUUCUGUAACACCAGAGAAAACAUAGAAAAGGUCACACCAAGGGAGGGUCAUGGGAACCAAGGGAAACCAACCCCGCCACUGUAAAUCAGUUGAAUGCUCCUGAACUUAUGCGUGAUGGCAUGAAUAUAUGCCCUUAUUCUUAUUAGAAGAAGCACCAGCCCUCGGGUCAAAGAAGACUGCCCCAAUCUAAAGAAAGUGGGAGGACAACAGGACUUGCUCAUAACGAGUUAUAAUGCAUUUAUUUGAUGCUAUGUGUUUGUAGUAGUUACUAGGCUGAUAGCUAAUAGUAGCCGGACCGGCAAACACAGGACUUGGAGCGUAAGCCUUAGACCCAAGCACAAUCAACUCUCUCAUAGACUCAUUGAUUCUUUUCCCGUUUACCCAGCUUCAAAGCCUCCAACUAAGUCCACCAAGGGCCAAGCCACUACUAAUGUGGCGCGGAGAGAGCUAUAAAACUGUGUUCGGCUUUCUCAGACUUUCACUUAUAUCAAUAAAGAACUGCACCGGGGCAUAAGAGAAUGGACUACUAUCCGAUAAGACUAAGGGAUCCCACCAAGAACACCGAGGCUAAGAGUCACCUCCGAAAGUAUUGCUUGCCGGCGUUAGUCCGACAUUCCCCGCCCAUAGGUCUACUUCACUGUAUAUCAAGGCUUUGCUACCUACCUUUUCUUCUGACUUCUUAAGGUUAUUAUUGGAUUAAGUACUCUUUUCUCUUAUACUAGAAUAGAGCUAAAGAAUAAUCUAAAGUAUAGUAAGAUUGAUAGAAGGGGGCAGUUCUUUUGAAAUCCCGAUGUGUGGUGUCGGGGUUCCAGGCGCGAUCUCGAACUAAAGAAUUCCAAUAAGCAUUUUCCGUUUUCAAGUCAGUAAAGGGAGGUGUCAUGUCAGACCGAGAUAUAGUUGUGGAAGAGCUAAGGCGAAAUAAACACUUAAGCCAAGUAAAGGCAGACUCGAUGAAAGGGAAGUUUGCUUUUGGGCCAGUAAGGUAAGGCAGAGAAGCUGUGGUUCAGUUCCUACAGUUCCUAUUAGUAGCGGUAGUGUUUCAUUACGAGAGUAGUAAGUUACAGUCGUAGGGGGUCUCGUUCUCAUCGGUAGUGGUUUCAGCCUUUCCAGUAGUGGGUGGAGUCUUGUUAACCCCAGAUACAGAAUGAAAGUCAGCAGCGGCAGGCGCAUAGGCAUUAGUUGCAUUCCUUUAUUUGCUUAUUUAUUUCCUUAUUUCCUUUUGCAGUCUUUUAGUGCAGUAGUCAAUUCCUCCUUAUUUCUCGGGUUUUUGGCCAGCGCCCACAAGGUUGAGUCUAUUACUUAUUGGUUCAAUUCUGUAUUGCCCCCUGCAGUCCGAUACGGCUCCCAACAGAGACGAUAUCUUGUAUUGUGAGGGUGACUCUUAUUAGUUCUUAUUUCAUUCUUUAUCUCCCAACGGAAAUUCCAUAUUGAUACUUGGAUCCUCUGAUGCACCAACUCAGCCCCUUACUACUUAGUCUAAUUCUGAGUACCGACUCUGGAAAGCCCUUUUCUCUGUACCGCCCCUCUCAUAGGAAAAAGCAAUUCUCUGAUUCCACACACUCACUUUUCAUUCUUAUAAUCAGAAGUUCCAUUCUUGCUGUAGUAGUUGAUUUCGUAGUUUCGAGUUCAAUUCCAUAGAUCAUAUUCCUAUUAUUAUAUUAUUAGAUGCACUAGCAUCGUCUACUAGGGGCGUUAUAGUUGUCCCCGGCAUAGAAGACUUGAAACUAAGAUAGUGAGAAAAAGCAAGCAAUGGAGGCUAACAAACUAAGAUCCGAAUCAGUAACUAAAGAAUGACAAGCAGUAAAAGCAGCUUCGGGGUUAGGGGAUAUAGGCUACGAUGUAGUAAAGCACGGGUCCAAGUCAAUAGUUAUAAAAUAGAAGACAGGCGGGGCAGGCCGAGAUAAGUGAGAGUCAGAAUUAGAGUUAGGAGAGGUAUGCUCAUAUCAUUGUUUGUAGCUACAUUCCCAGUUCCAAGUUCAAAAGGAUUAGAGGCUGUGGUAUCGAUCUUGGGUAUCGAUCUUGUCCGUAGUAGCCCUUAGCCCUGUCAGCAGUGGUUGAAUGCCUGUUGUAAAUUCCAUUCGUAUAGGUUUUCAUAGAGGCAACAGACUUCAUGUCAGUAGCAAUAGACCGAGAUGCAGUAAAGUAAGGCCCAUAGAUAGUCAAGUCAGUCUUAUUGGCAUUGGUGAAACUCUUCUUGUCACUUCUCACAUCUACGCAUCCCUAACAUCAUAAGUCAGAAUGCAAAUAAGUAGCCAAAGAACAUAGGCAAGCCAAGGCAGGCUCAAAGACAAGAGUGACAGGCUAAUAGGCAAGAAUAGCAGUUUCAUCAGUAGUAGUCUUUCGCAUUUUGGAAUAUUUCUCAUUUCUUGUUUUUGCAUUUCUUUAGACCGGAUAUCAGUUGGAAGUAGUAGUCCUGUUCUAGUUUGAUCUUAUUAAGAAGCCGAAGCCGAGUUGACUCCCCUUCUUUAGUUGUGGAAUCCCAAACAAGUAUACUAGUAGUAAAGAGCCCAGAGCCAUACCUUUAUUAGUUGACAGAGCCGAGCCUGUUGUUGUAGAGUUUCAUCCCCAACGAGUAGUAGUCUAGUCCUGGUUAAUCAGUAGUUGUAGCCAGAGUAGAGGUACGCAAGGGAAGCAGCUUCAUCUGUAUUUGUAGCCAAGCCUGAGUUCAAAGAAACUGACUGUUCGAGUUAGAGGCCAAACAACUACUAAUGUUGUGCGGCAGGGCUGUUCCCCCGCUCCCUUAGUUGGUGUUGGCAAGAGGGGAGCCUGUUGUUGUAGAUAGGGUAGUUUGACUUCAGUUACUAGGCUCGGUAAAGUAUUGCCUUUGAUGCGAGGCGAUAUAGGUCUAAUUCUUAUCUUCAUUCCACUAUUAGUGGUGAGUUUAGACAGAAACAAGAACUGGAGUCGUUAGUUGACAGAGGAGUGGUUAGUUGACAGAGGUCUAACUUCGUUAAGGACAGAGACAUAGGCACCCUUGACUAAAACAUAAGAGCAGAUACAUAGGCACCACUCACUAACGCCAUGAAAGAAGCAAACACUCUUAAGACAAACUCGGCGCACUCGGAACUUGCUGCUUACUCGUUGUUCUAUAGAUCUAUGUAAAGACUAACUCAACUUGCCAGCGCAUUAGAUACUAGGGGAGUGGUUACGCGCAUUCAAUUCUGUGGUUGUUGCCAGAGGAUAGGUAGGCAGCUAGUAAGGAAGUAAAGUAGACAGUAGUGAAGUUUCCUGUUAGUUGGGUAUCCAGUGUUGUAUCCUGUGAGUUAGAUAUCUAGUGUUGUAUCCUGUUGUCGGUUCUUCCCUUCAAUACGAGGGCGGGGCAGAGUCCAGCAGUGUUUGUCGUACAUAAAUACGUUCCAAUGAGUUAUAAACAAGUGCUUUAUUCUGGGCGGCAGGGAAGUUUACAAUGAAUCUCUUGGGGGGGCGAGUAACGUCUAGAACAUCAUCUUGGAUCUUUAUCCUAAAACAGAGCACUUAGUAUACGCUUGGCCCAGGGUUUGAAGCGAGGUGUACUAAUGAAGGGGUAGUUACCAUAGGAGAGUUAGUUCAGGUACCAAAAGACUUGAGCUCGAUUAGCCUCAUUCGGGUAUCAAACCAAACAAAUAGGAUUUACUUGCUCAUAAAGGAGUUGGGGCUAGACUCGCUAACCAAAGAAAAGGCUUGAAAUGUAUACUAGCUUGGACCGAUCGAUGUCAUUCUGUAUUUCCAGAUUGAUUCUUAUUCCCUUUAUUCUGAGUUCCGAAUUGAGUUCUUUUUCAUAGUAGUUGGUUGAGUUGAGUUCCCGCUUAAGGGAUGUUAGGAACAAGGAUUAGAAUGAGAUCAAGGAAGGUAAGGCUUAUAGACUGCAAAGUAAGCUUCUAAGCGAGUAGACAGUCAAGUAAGAACCAGAGCCAGGGCAUAGAGGUAUAAGGUACCACGCCCCGGGUUCAUGUUCAGGAGUUAUAGAAUCAAAGCCAUCAGUUCUAGGCUAAGGUCCCGUAAGUAGAGCAAAGAUCCAUUCUCAUCAGCAGUAGUAAGGUAUGAGAAGCGGUAGUCAAGUCAUAUUCUUAUUUCUUAGUGACUAUUCCUGUUCUAAUUCUCGUAUUUCAAAUAAGUAAGUCAAAGAAGAAUAGAAAGGAAAGGGUUGAACAUACGAUGUAGAUUCCGUAGUGGCAGGCCUUUAGACAUUAAAGUCAUAUUAGAUUCAGUAUUGGCAGAGCAGUAAGUAAGGCUCAAGCGUAGUAAAUGCAACAAGCGAAGUAGCGGACCGGAACCCAAACAUGGGCAGCUAAAUAAGAAGUCUCAGAAGAAAAUACAGUCGGGGGGUUACUGAGUUCCAUCCGGAUGUUGGAGUGGAGUCGAGGUCCCAUAUGCUCUGGUUGCACUCUAUCCUACUUGGUUAACAGCGGUUCUAUUCCUUCUAAGAAGAUACAGUAUUAUUUCUUGGGCACUGGGUUACUCUUAUCGGUAUAGUAGUCAAAUCCAAGUCUGAGUCCCAAGUUCAAGUAUUUCUAUCAGUGGUGAAUUUCUCUUAUUCUAGUUUUCAAGAAGGGAGUGUCAGGCUUACUUGCUUCCUUUCUUCUCUAUAUUGAGUUGCUGCCUUAGAAGCCUUGGGUUUAUUCUGCUGUUCGAGGCUCGGGUUCUGUCUUUCUUUCCUUAUAGCGCUGGGUUCGGUCUUAGAAGCACUAGUCGAAGUAUGAGUUAUGAGUUCUCUUCUUAGAAGCAGGAGCCGAAGCCUGAGUUCUGGGCUCAAUAAGGAGGGUAGGCGCAUAGACAGUAAAGUAAUACGGAUAUACAGUAAGGUCAGACUUAAGUCAAGGGAAGAGUAACAGACUUGUAGGCACGAGUGUAAGUUUGAAACAAGAGAAAGGGCAUUGAGAUCAGUAGCUAAGGGAUCCGGGGAUCAGUAACUAUAGACACCUAAAAGCAGUAGCUCCAUUCUUAUUAAACUCAUCAAUAUUAUAUAAAAGAACUUGAAAUACGAAUACCUAAUUGAAUAAUGAAACUUGGAAUGAAACCAAUGCUAGUCAGAGUUGCACUCAAUACACUGUAUCGAACUCCGUGAACUCGCCCUAACUAACUGGGAAUUUACCUACUGUUUCUAAGGCCUACUCUGAUCUCUGAGCUCCACUGAAACUCUUGUGCUGCUGAGUUCGAUCCACCUCAACUCUAAGUCCCUCACUUAUUUAUCAUAGCCUGUCACUCCUUCUUUAGCUCGGUUCAUGGGCCUGCACCUUUCCGCAAAUGCUUAGUUCGUCCCUUCCAAUAAGUAAAAGAAUCAAUAUAGAAAUAUGGAAUCGAACCCUGUAGUGACUAAUGAACUAAACUCGGAGCUAAGAGGGUCACUUAGCAUUGAACUAGUACAAGAAUCGGAGCAGUGCUACGGUAGAACCAAACUACUACUUGGAGACCACUAAUUAAGAUGUUAGUUGAUUUCUGAGUUGCCCACCUCUGGGUUGUAGUCUUGAUUUUCCGUUUUGUUCUUAUGCCUAUGGGUUAUUAUCCCGGGUGUUGGAAAAAGGGAUGAGUAUUAGGUAGGUAUUGACACCAAUGAUGAAAAGAAUCCCACCAUUAAUACAAGAUGAAACUAAGAAGUAGUACAAAGGCAGGGCUGCAACAAGAGCAUUGGAAUCCUACUCGAACUAGGAAUGCAUUCACCCAUAACGAACCAAACGAACAACUAAGAUAAGGUGUGUGACGUUAGGAAACGAGCGCUGGACAAAAAAAAGGAUUGAACCUGCUAUAGUAUGUAAAGAAAGUGGAAGUUAGAGUUGCUGUGUAAGGUAGAGUAACAAAAUACUAGUGGCAUUCCCCUUUGUUGCAGUUCCUGGCGCCCCAUUACUGCCGAGGGCCAGGUGAGUUCGCUGCCGGCUGCACUUCACUAUAUAUAUCCCUUCCUAAGUAGUUGGUCUCCUAGAAAGUAUAUAUCCUUUCCUAAGUAGUUGGUCUCCUAGAAAGUAGGGUUGCUAAGCCGAGUAUGGCCCUGUAUCAAUGAAAGCGCUUCUUUUCUUGGUUCUCUCUAUAUAUGGAAUGAGUUGGUUCUAUAUAUAUAUAUGGAAUGAGUUGGUUCUCUCUAUAUAUGGAAUGAUAUGAGAUCUCGAUGCUAGGGAGCUAGCCAUGUGAGACCUGAGACCAAAGGUGGACCUCGCCGAUUGAGAACAUAGCACGUGUUCCGUGCGCAAGUCAAAAAGCCAAGCCGACCCUC
rnacentral:lncRNA from 1 species